rnacentral:rRNA from 1 species
CCCGCUCCCGGUAAAACGGGACGGCCCGCCAGAGGACCCCUAAAACUCUGUUUCUAUAUGUAACUUCUGAGUAAAACCAUAAAUAAAUCAAAACUUUCAACAACGGAUCUCUUGGUUCUGGCAUCGAUGAAGAACGCAGCAAAAUGCGAUAAGUAAUGUGAAUUGCAGAAUUCAGUGAAUCAUCGAAUCUUUGAACGCACAUUGCGCCCGCCAGUAUUCUGGCGGGCAUGCCUGUUCGAGCGUCAUUUCAACCCUCAAGCACAGCUUGGUGUUGGGACUCGCGUUAAUUCGCGUUCCUCAAAUUGAUUGGCGGUCACGUCGAGCUUCCAUAGCGUAGUAGUAAAACCCUCGUUACUGGUAAUCGUCGCGGCCACGCCGUUAAACCCCAACUUCUGAAUGUUGACCUCGGAUCAGGUAGGAAUACCCGCUGAACUUAAGC